rnacentral:tRNA from 1 species
GCCCCCAUAACUCAAUUGGCAGAGUAGUUGCCUCUUAAGCAAUUUGUUACAGGUUCGAGUCCUGUUGGGGGCACAA